rnacentral:tRNA from 1 species
AUAGCUCAGCUGGUAGAGCGGAGGACUGUAGAGGCGAGACUUUGCGGAAAUCCUUAGGUCGCUGGUUCGAUUCCGGCUCGAAGGA